GCCGCCUCCGGGCGCUGUUUGCUCCCAGUUCCCUCCCAGUGCUCCCAGUAAGAGCGAUACUGGGAAGAGAAGUGCUACGAAUUCCUUUCCGCUGCUUUCAAGAUCGCUCCCGGUGCUCCCAGUAUCGCUCCCAGUGCCGCGCGGGGCGGGGCCGCUUUGGAACCACCCCAGGGCAGAGCGCGGCUGCUUUUAGGUGUCGGCACCGCCCGGGCCGUGCUGGGAGCGGAGGAGGAGCGGGAGGAAGAGGAGGGAGAGGAAGAAGACAAGCCAAGGCAGGAGGGGCCGGAAAAGGAGGAGCAGGAAUAGGAGGGACAGAGGUGGAGUAGGAACAGGAGGGGCGGGAGGAAGUUGUCCCUUCGGAGCCCGCCGGUGAGUGAGGAGGGGGAGCUCGUCGCAAAACCAUCGGGGUGUCUCUGGGAAUUCCCAUUCCUAAACCUCGGCCCAAUGGAUGAGGACGCUGAGAGGAAGAUGAUCUGGGAGCCCCGGGCAGACAAGGAGCUGAGGAUGGAGACCAGGGAGGACAAAUCCCCAUGGCAGAACCUCAUGGAAGAGGCCGUUUUGAGCGGCUCCGCAGCGCAGGAAUCCAACGGGGAGGAAAAGCCCCAGAGAUCUCACAUUAGGAUGGGCUGCAAACACAAAUCACAGGGAUCUGAGGAAGAAAGAUCCACCCUGGGCCAGGAAGAUGACCAGAACUCAGAGCUGGGAGUUCCUGAGCAGCUUCAUGAUGGAGUGAAGCCCCAAAAGUGCUCAAAAUGUGAGAAGAGCUUCAGGUGGAGAUCCUCCCUUAUCCGACACUCAAGAAUCCACACAGAGAAAUGGCUCUAUGAGUGUGGGCAGUGUGGGAAGAGCUUCAGUUCGAGCUCCAGCCUGAUCCGCCACCAGAGGAACCACACCAGGGAGAGACCUUAUGAGUGUGAUCAAUGCAAGAAGAGAUUUCCCACCAGCUCCUGUCUCCUCAGGCACCAGCGGAUUCACACGGAUGAGAGGCCCUUCCGCUGCCCUGACUGUGGGAUGUGUUUCAAGAACAACUCAUCCCUCUUCAUCCACCGGCGCAUCCACACCGGGGAGAGGCCCUAUGAGUGUCCCGAGUGUGGGAUGAGCUUCUCACAGCGCUCCACUCUGAUUUCCCACCGGAGGAGCCACACGGGGGAACGGCCCUAUGAGUGUGGGGAGUGUGGGAAGAGUUUCAGCCGGAGCUCCACCCUGAUUGCCCACCAGAGGAACCACACCGGGGAGGGGCUCUACGAGUGUGGUCAGUGUAGGAAGCGCUUCAGCCGGAGCUACCACCUGAUCCGCCACCAGAUGAUCCACACUGGGGAGAGGCUCUACCACUGCGAUGAAUGCAAGAGGAGUUUUCAGACCAGCUCCUGUCUCCUCAGGCACCAGCGGAUUCACACGGAUGAGAGGCCCUUCCGCUGCCCCGACUGCGGGAAGGGCUUUAGGGAGAAGUCUGCCCUCAUCGACCACCAGCGCAUCCACACCGGGGAGAGACCCUUCAAGUGUUCCGAGUGUGGCAAGAGCUUCACCCAGAGCUCUACCUUGACUCAACACCUACGCACACACAACUAAGGGAUGCCCUGUGAGUGCCCUGAGUGCAGAAAGAGCUUCAUGCACUGCUCCAGCUCCAUCCUCCAUGGAAGGAUCCAUGCUGGAUGAACCCCAGUGACCCCGGUAGCAGAGUCCCAGUGAUCCGUGGUGCCCGUGAUCCGUGUUGGGAGGACACCUGGCUGAGGGCUCCACAUCCUCCUGGCUCCCCAUGGCCUGCAUUUUCUUUUCAUUUCUCUUCGUCCUUUCAAAACAUCCAAAACUGGGGUAGAAAUAAAGAUUUUGAACUAAGACAAGGAUGGGGACAUGGGGGGAUCUUCCAGGGGAUAUGGGGGAUGCUGGAUGCCAGGGAGUUGAAGGUUCCUGGCAGGGACUGGGGGUUGCUCAGGCCUUUGGGCUCCCCAGGCCGAGUGGCUCCAGCUGCUCUGGGAGAGCCUGGCACAGGUUCCGGGGCAGCUGAUCAAGGACCCCCUGCCCUGGAACUGUCCUCAUGUCCCCCCGUCCCGGUUCCCAGUGUCCCCUGUCCAGGUUCCCCCUCUCCCCGCUGUUACUUGCAUUGCCCCCUGCUCUUUCCCGUGUCACCCCACUCCUGGUCUCAUCCUGCUCCCAUCCCAGUCUGGAUCCCAUUCCUGGUCUCAUUCCCUGUAGCUGUCCUGUAUUCUCUGGCUGGCUACCAUUCCCAUAUUCCCAGUCACGAUUCCCUGCCGUGUUCUCAUACUCCUGGUCCUGCUGCAAGUCCUGCAUUUCCAUUUUUUCAUUCCCUGUCCCAUUCCCAUAUUCCUGAUCCCAGUCCCGUUGCUGUGUUCCCAUUUCUGAUUCCUGUCACACCUUCCUAAUCCCCAUCACAUAUUCUCUCUCCAAUUGUUGUUUCCAUGUUCCCUGUCUCGUUGCCAUAUUCCCAUCCCUGGUCUCAUUUCUGGACCCUCUCCCAUAAUCCCAGUCACUGUCUCCAUUCCCCAUCCCAUUCCUGCUCCCAGUCCCAUAUUCCCUGUCCCGUUCUUGGUCCCUGUCCCCAUUCCAACUAUCAUUCCCAGUCCCUGUCUCAUAUUUCCAGUCCUAUUCCCAGUCCCCAUCCCCAUUACCAAUUCUUGUCCCCAUCCCUGGUGCCAUUCCCCAUGCCACUCCUGGUCCCAGUCCCUGUCUCGUAUUCCCUGUCCUUUUCCCAGUCCCAGUCUGGUAUUUUAGGUCUCCUUCUUGGUCCCUGUCCCCAUUCCCAUUAUCAUUCUGAAUUGCUGUCUCUUAUUUCCAUUCUUAUAUUCCCAGUCUCUGUCCCCAUUCCCAGUCACUAUCCAGUGCCACUCCUGGUCCCUCUCCCCAUUCCUGGUCCCAUUCCCAGUUCCAUUCUGGUAUAGCUGGCCCAAUUCUUAGUACCUGUCCCCAUUCCUAGUAUUAUUCCCAGUCCCUGUCUCUUAUUUCCAGUCCCAUUCCUGGUCCCAUUCCCAUAUUCCAUGACCCUGUCCCCACUCCCAGACUCAGUCCCAUAUUCCCGGUCCCUGUCCCCAUUCCUAGACACAUUCCCCGUCCCAGUCCCGUAUUCUGAGUCCCUGUCCCAAUUCUCUUUCCCAGUCCCGUAUUCCUGGUUCCAUUCAUGGUCCCUGCCCUCAUUCCCAGUAUCAUUCUCACUACUUGUCUUGUAUUUCCAGCCCAUUUCUGAUCCCUGUCCCAAUUUCUGAUCCCUGUCCCCAUUUCCUGGUCCCUGUCCCCUUUCCCAAACCCUGUCCCCUUUCCCAGUCCCUGUCCCCAUUCCCAAACCCUUUCCCUAUUCCCUGUCCCAUUCCCGGUGCUGUACCCCAGGGCCACCUCUCGCAUGGGGCCCUGAGGGCUCCACAUCUCGGGCUGGCGGUGGCACACGAACCGUUCAGCCCCGCUGCUGUCCUUGGCCAGCUGCAGAGAGCACAAGGCUUUGGCCAUUCCUCAGAGGCCCCCAGCUGGCCAGAGCAGCCCCUCCUGCCAGCACCCGCUGUGCCUCAUGUUAUGAAUGGGCCAGGAGACCAGCUCCAGAGUGAUUUCAGCCUUUGUUAAAAGAACAGCCUGGGAAGAGGAGGCCCAGCGCACCAUGCUGCUGCUCCAGUGGCGACUCGGAGGAGGAGGCAAUCAGCUCCAUCUCUGUAUGGCGGAUCUCGGUCUUCUCGCCUCACAAGAGUCUCCAGGAAGACACUUGCUGGCUCUUGGUCCAGGGGUGUCAUGCUGAUCAAGUGCAGUUCAGGUCAUGGCAACAAGGCAAAAAGCUUUGGUUGGUGGUCUGACGUUCUUUACUGUUUUCUUCAUCUAAAGGUGUUGUUUAGAUCUUUAUUGGUACUAGGGCUCAUUGGUUUUAGAGGUUUUUGUCUGCUCAUUUAGCUUCUGCCAGAUACUAGGCCUUAUGGGAGUCUUAUGUUUGCAUCUGCCAUCAUGGGUACAAAGGGAGCAGCAGGGCGAUACUCGACGGUGAGGCAGGAUACGAGCUAGGAACUAAUUAACUUACAUAACUUAUGAGACAUUUACAGAACAUUCUGACAAACAACUGUGUAACUUAACAUUGAAAUGGGUAAUUAACCUUUAGAAACUUUAUUUUUUACAAUUCCCCCCUCUAAUUCUUUGAUCAGGCUCCAGCCUGCAUCAAUUUGCAGUUUCUGACUCUCGGAAAUAGUGUUUUCUCAAUUUUUGGUACCAAUCAUAAACCUUUUUGGUGUUUUUGUGUUCUUGUUCUUGGCUCUCUACCUUCAUAAUGCUAGUUUGUCUCUGAUUGGUCAUUUCUGGGAUUUGUAUACGUGCUUGGAUUGUGGAAGUUACUACUCGAACCAGGCAAGGGAAUAGGCAGGGUAGAAACAGUAAACUUGUUAAUGCACAAGCUAUAAUAAAAGCCGCUUUUUUCCACCAACUAGUAUCUACUAGGGGAGUCCACUCUUGGGUACUGACAUAUGUUAUCUUGCAUAUCUCUUUGGAGAUGUCUUUGAUCACUUUGCUUCUGUCAUUGAUCUCUAAGCAGCAGUCCGAGGAAAUAAAUUUGCCACAUAUUCCUCCUUCAUCAGCUAGUAAAUAAUCUACAGCAAGCCAAAUUUGAGAGAUUGCUGCUCUGGUCUGGGUUAAUUGGUUACUCAUGUCGUCAAGGGUGAGGGUUGUUUUGGUGGAAAAAAAUUCUAGUACUGCUUGGAGUCGGAUAAUUCUAUUGAGCAUAUAAAUCGGGGUGCAGUAUCCCUAAGACCCAUCUUGGGCCCAAGUGACUGGCCCAUAAGUUUUAAGUCUUUUUUCUGGGGUCCAGAUUUUGCCUUUCUAUUUUUGGGUACUCCCCAUGUCAAUUAUAUUUCUUCUCUUUCAGUUGGUUUUUCUUAAAUCAUCGUGUAGUUGAACUCCCAGAUUUGACCCUGAUUCUUUUGGGAGUAGGAAGAAGGCGGGUUUAAUGAUUGCUAUGGUGCAACUCCCUGCCCCAUCUCCUGGGAGUUUGGUGUAUGCUGUGCUUCUACAAAUCCAAAACAAAUUGGGGCUUCCCAAAAUGCAUCUUUUAUUUCUGAGGGAUAUUCCCAGUAUUUGGACAAUUUUCUUAUUCCCCAGAAGGGGUUUAUCCCUUUUUUGGCGCAUUCAUGCAGCCUGUACCCCUCAGGGUAAAUGCACCCUUUUUCGUUCUUCCCAAUGGACCAGUAUCGAUUUGGCUCUCGGGGAAUCCACCUAGUGCUUAAAUCUUUUGUUAUUAGAUAUUUUUUACAGGCCAUUUUUCCUACUAGGGUCUUAGACCUUUUCCCUCAUAAUACAUUCUUCACCAAUUCCUUUGACUUUAAGUCCCAUUCCUCCUUCCUUCUUUGCCCUGUGAUUUGAGGUUCUUGUUCGACUUGUUUCCAUUUUAGUCUCUCUAGUGGUCUCAGACUAAUCCCAACCCAAGGUUAAAUUUCUGUCAUUUGGGUAUUUCCCCAAACCCAACAGUUGGUUAAAUUUAACUCCUUACUGAUCCUCUCAACUAAAUCUAUGAAUAAAUUUUUCCCCAGGGGUAUUUCUAAGUCUUCUUUUUUUAAAAAUUUGGUUACCACUGUUAGUUUUUCUUCUACUAGGUCUGUUAAUCCUUCUUGGUUGGCUUCAUGUUCGCAGCAGAACUAGGCAUCUCUUACAGGGCAUUCCCCAAGCAAACACUGCCUAAACGAGGCUGUAUUUCUUGCAAUCCAAUAAACUUUCCCAUCUUCUUGACAGGUGGCUAACUGGGAGUGAUUAAAACAGCUGUGGUUUAUGUUGCUAUGGACUCUUAUUAAAGACCCGAGAUUUUCCCCAUCAUCGAGAGGGUGAUAGCACUCAGUACAUGCUGUUUCUCUACUCUCUAGGGUGCUACCCACGAGCAGGGCUAACACCAGCCCUCCCAAGAGUCCGGUAUGAGCCAUUUCUGGUGUGGAGGACUUCACUUGCUCUCCCGGUCUUGCCUCCUGGGA